AUGCACCCCCUGUGGUUCGCCUGUUCUGUGAGCUGGCUCUCGGUGCAGACACGGGGUAUCGGUACGCUAGGCCCGUGAACAGCUAAGGCGAAGAUGCAGGGCUUGCCAAAGGUGUAGCUAGCUGUUCUGGAGAUCGGUUUGGCAGUUCCUCAGAAUCCGAAACACGGAGUCACUGCAUGGCUUCACGAGUCUGCUGCGAAGGGUAUUCCCAGCAGAGCUGCAAGUAUGUCCACACAAAAUCUAUGCGUACGCAUAGUCACAGCGGCACUCUUCCUGAGAGCCGAACAAGGGCGAACCACCCAAAUGCCUGCCAGCUGAUGAAUGCGUUGAAACGUACGGUCCAUCCGUACCAUGGAAUGUGAUCUGGCCACAAGAAGGAAGGAGGUACAGAUACCUGCUGCCACACGGAUAAACCCUGAACAUGACGCCUGGGGAAAGAAGCCACCAACGAUCCCACACCGUGUGACUUUAUGCACAGGAAAUAUGCAGAAUUGGCAAAUUCUAGAGACAGAAAAAGUAUUAGCGGCUGACAUGAACCGAGGGGGACAGGAAGGAGGGACAGUGACUGCUAAUGAGCUAGAGGUAUCGAUUCUGAGGUGAUUAAAAUGCUCUAAGGUUAGAAAGUGGUGAUAGUUGCAUGGCUUGGAAUAUUUAAACACAGUACACAUUACUGAAUGGCAUACUUUAAAAGGGUCAAUUUUAUGAUGUAUGAAUUAUUUCUUAAUAAAGCUGCUAUACAAAAAAAAAAAAAGAUAUGGAUUUACCUAGUAAAACAUUUCAAGACCCAGAAAAUGAAUGCCUGCUAAAAAAUUAGUAUGGGGUGGGGCAGAAAUCAAAGCAAAGGUAACUAAAGUCUUUACAGCUUUGGAUGAGCUAAUGAUUGCUCUCUAUGCUACACAUUAUAAAUGACAACCCAAGACCCUCCCGCCCCCCUUUUAGUAUCUCCUUCUACCCACACAGCAUGACCCACCACGCAACAUUCGUUUGCUGGUAUCCGAGAAAACCAGAUGCAGGGAGACAGAGUCUGUUUCUCGGCAUCAAAGCUGACACCAGAAUCUGGUCAGUCCACCAGCCAUGCAUGCCAGAGAGACGGAUAUGCCGACUGUGCACACGGCCGGGACAUUGUGUUCCAGAGCUCCUACUCCAACUAGGGAGACGUGUGUGCGAACACUCUCGGUGGGCGUGAGGCAAAGCCCUUAAAGAGGCCAGUGGGAGAAACUGCUGGCUCUCAAGGGAGGGAGAGACGGACCGUGCUGGGCCCGGGGCCAGCAGAGUGGGCUUCAGAGGGGCAGCGCUGCCGGGACUGGACUCGUGGCCUCGGGGGUGUUUAUCGGACGAGUGAAGCCAGCCCAGGCAUCUCUGUUCACACUUCAGUUAGGUUCCCCAGCUCAGGGCCUGGGUUGAGAUCAGAACUCUGCAGGGUGCAUGCAAUCAGUCCCCGGAUGUGGGUGCGUGACUCAGGAGGAGAGCACCCGACCCCCCAUGGGGCUCUGGGCAGAGCUCCCACAGACGACCCUGAAUACACGUCCUCGAACCCCAGACCCCUCUGAACUGGCAGGGCAAUUCUGACUUACUCUUUUUUCCUUUACUCUGCGGAAACCAGCCCCUUCCACGUCCUGGACUUUUUCCUGUUCUCUUUGUACACUAAUUAAUCGAAUACUCCAUUAAUCCACCACUUAAUUAAAAAGCUACACCAGGCGAGGUGCUGAUAAAGCAAGGCUCGCUCCCACGCAGCUCACAGUCGAGUGCAGCGCUGUCAAAGCGUGGCCCCAGGACAGCGCCCACCUCCCCCAGAGCAGCGGCUCAGCGAGAAGGGUCCCAAGGACAAACCCCAGAAAGUCCAAGAGCGACACUGGGAAAUCGGCUUUCCCGAGCACGCCCCGGCCCUGAGAACUCGCCUGGAGAAACAGAUGGGACCCCCGCUCCGCUCCCAGCACUCUUACAUAACAUUCUAUCCGUUAAUCCUCUGACUACCCGGGGCCAGGCAGUACCGUGACCUCCAAAUCCUUUGGAGGCGCCUGAAGAAGACGGACUUACUGGCUCAAGGUCAUCCCACGGCCAGACGGCAGAGUGGAACAGGAGGAAGUCCCUAAGCUGGUUUUGUGACUGUGUGAUGCUGCCCCCAGACAGAGGUCCUGGGGAGCUGGGGACGCCUUCCCCGAGGCGAAUCCUCACCGGCCUGGAGGCGAGAGGCCUCGUGGGCAGCAGUGAAAGCAGCCUUCGGUGACCUGGGGGACGGUCGUUGGUGAACCAGCUGGCCUCGGCAGCAGGGUCUCCAGGAUGCGGAGCUCAACUCGGGGAGGGGAGGUUAGACAGACACCGGUUUAGGCUCAGACGGGGUUUGCUCGAGGUGUCUAGAAAUAGGGAAGACUGGGUGGCCAGGUGAGCUGCCUUCCAGUGGAGGCACGCCACGGAGCCUGCGCACCUGGAAGGCAGGGAUUACAUGGGAGGACUGGAGCCAUUGGGGUGCCGAGAUGACCCAGAAGGCUGUUUGGGCACAACUGUGCGAUGCACUUAGGUGCAGCAGGGGCAUACGUGUCUGACAGGCUCGGCACCUAGUAGGCACAGUAUUGCGCUAAUAUUUGCUAAGUGAGUGAAUGAAUAUAACAGAGAUGAAGAGGACCAGAGAUAUCUGUUAUUUUAUUUCCAUCGCAUGCUUGCUAUGUGGCACUCUCUGAGUCUGUCUUUUCUCACACCGUGACAUCCACGGGCUUGCUAAUCUCGCCAUGUCCCAUUUUUUCCACACCUGUUAUACCUGUCUCUGUCCCCACAGGCUCUAGGCUGGGUCUCUGUGUAUGUAAAUCAGUGACGGCCCAGACGUACUAGUCCUGAAAAGAAGGAGACGAGGAAACACCUGUUUACUGAGCCAGGUGCCAAUCUGUGUCUUUCACACGGAUUAUCUCAAAUCACCCAGACACCAACACUCUAAAGCAGAGAUUUUUCACCUCCAAUCUACAGAUAUAAAAACUGAGGCUAAGAGAGGCGACCACUGACGUAAAAGGAGGUGGCACCCUUCUUGUUUGCAAGUGCUUAUCCUCCUCAUCAAUAGUUGCUUAAGCACUAGUUUUAGGCCGCUUGGGUCCUCCUGAUAUUUCUAAGCUGCAACAUUCGAAAAGGUGCCGAUUCAUCAGAAUGAAAGAAAGAAUUCGGUGCUAAGGCCCCUCCCCCUCACACAUGACAGGCAGGAGUUCAUUCCCCGGUGAGCGCCGAGCACAGAGCCAGGCACGACUAGUGGCCCGGAAAUGACAGCUGGAUGGUGUCCAGCGGUUCCUUCACUAGGGAUGGCCUCGGGGAGUCUGGACGAGCGCACGGAAGGGCCAGCACAGAGCAGGACAUGUCAUCGCUCAGAGCUCGAGACGUGCUUGUUGGACCCGCUGCUUGACUUCAAGGUCUUUCGGUGGGAAAGUGAAAAAGGUGAAAACAUUCAGAACAAAGAGACACCAAGCAGAUGCCUCACUGGGAGGGGCGGUCACUGAGGCUCCGGCACAAACCCGGCACGGACCGAUCGUCGCAGGAGGAGUGGAGGGCCAGGGGGCCGGACGUGAGGCACACAUGCCAGCCUCUCGGGAGCUUCCAGAUGGUUCCUUGUGUGAGCAGAGACGAGAGCUGUUUGGCCUUUGUGGGUACCUAUAAAAAUCUGGAUAAUUUUAAGCUAUUCUGCCUGACAACUUGAUUAACACCAGCAGCGGCAGCGGCUGGGCGGCCCUGUUCGUGCCUGCAAGAAUGAGUCACGUCGGCUGAGCUCCAUUCGGAAAGCCGUCCUGGUGUUACAUUAGCCGACGAGGAUGGGGGCCUGUCUGCCCACACCACGCCGAGGAAACCCUCUCGGGGGUUGGCAAAGAGGCCAACAGGAGCUCUGAACUCAGGCGGUGCUCACUCCGAGCCUCAGUUUCCUGAGAAGACGGAUGUGAAACACCCGGACUUCGUGGAUUUUUACUGGGCUGGGACAACAAUGAGAAAGAAUUGGAAUCACCAGGCUUCAGGGGCUUGGAAGCCCCCUGUCCCGAUCUGGGCCCAGGCCCCUGACAAGGGGGCACCCCAAUGAGGAGGGGACGGACUGAACCUGGAAUGAAGUGGACAACCAG